UACGUAGGGGGCAAGCGUUGUCCGGAAUCAUUGGGCGUAAAGAGCGUGUAGGCGGCCUGGUAAGUCCGCUGUGAAAGUCCAGGGCUCAACCCUGGAAUGCCGGUGGAAACUGUCAGGCUCGAGUCCGGAAGAGGAGAGUGGAAUUCCUGGUGUAGCGGUGAAAUGCGCAGAUAUCAGGAAGAACACCCGUGGCUAAGGCGGCUCUCUAGUACGGUACUGACGCUGAGACGCGAAAGCGUGGGGAGCGAACAGG
rnacentral:rRNA from 1 species